rnacentral:rRNA from 1 species
UACGGGGGGGGCAAGCGUUGUUCGGAAUUACUGGGCGUAAAGGGCUCGUAGGUGGCCAACUAAGUCAGACGUGAAAUCCCUCGGCUUAACCGGGGAACUGCGUCUGAUACUGGAUGGCUUGAGUCCGGAAGAGGUGGGUGGAAUUCCUAGUGUAGAGGUGAAAUUCGUAGAUAUUAGGAAGAACACCGGUGGCGAAGGCGGCCCACUGGUCCGGUACUGACGCUGAGGUGCGAAAGCGUGGGGAGCAAACAGG